UGCGGAGGGAUCAUUACCGAGUUUACAACUCCCAAACCCCUGUGAACAUACCAAUUGUUGCCUCGGCGGAUCAGCCCGCUCCCGGUAAAACGGGACGGCCCGCCAGAGGACCCCUAAACUCUGUUUCUAUAUGUAACUUCUGAGUAAAACCAUAAAUAAAUCAAAACUUUCAACAACGGAUCUCUUGGUUCUGGCAUCGAUGAAGAACGCAGCAAAAUGCGAUAAGUAAUGUGAAUUGCAGAAUUCAGUGAAUCAUCGAAUCUUUGAACGCACAUUGCGCCCGCCAGUAUUCUGGCGGGCAUGCCUGUUCGAGCGUCAUUUCAACCCUCAAGCCCCCGGGUUUGGUGUUGGGGAUCGGCGAGCCCUUGCGGCAAGCCGGCCCCGAAAUCUAGUGGCGGUCUCGCUGCAGCUUCCAUUGCGUAGUAGUAAAACCCUCGCAACUGGUACGCGGCGCGGCCAAGCCGUUAAACCCCCAACUUCUGAAUGUUGACCUCGGAUCAGGUAGGAAUACCCGCUGAACUUAAGCAUAU
rnacentral:rRNA from 1 species